rnacentral:rRNA from 1 species
GUCGAACGUGAACGGGGGCAACCCCUAGUAAAGUGGCGUACGGGUGAGUAACACGUAGGUAAUCUACCUUAAAGUCUGGAAUAACCGGCCGAAAGGCUGGCUAAUACUGGAUAGAGCGAUGGAAUCCGUAAUUGGGUUUUUCGGGAAAGGGAGCCUGUAAGGGCCCUCACUUUGGGAUGAGCCUGCGUCUCAUUAGCUAGUUGGUAAGGUAAUGGCUUACCAAGGCUUUGAUGGGUAGCUGGUCUGAGAGGAUGAUCAGCCACACUGGAACUGAAACACGGACCAGACUCCUACGGGAGGCAGCAGUGGGGAAUCUUGCGCAAUGGACGAAAGUCUGACGCAGCCACGCCGCGUGAGUGAAGAAGGCCUUCGGGUCGUAAAGCUCUGUCGAACGGGACGAAAAUACUUAGGGUGAAUAGCCCUAGGGACUGACGGUACCGUUAAAGGAAGCACCGGCUAACUUCGUGCCAGCAGCCGCGGUAAUACGAGGGGUGCAAGCGUUGCUCGGAAUUAUUGGGCGUAAAGGGUAGGUAGGUGGUCUCAUUUGUCUGGGGUGAAAGCCUUGAGCUUAACUCAAGAAGUGCCCCGGAAACGGUGAGACUAGAGUCUUGGAGAGGGUCGUGGAAUUCCCGGUGUAGCGGUGAAAUGCGUAGAGAUCGGGAGGAACACCAGAGGCGAAGGCGGCGACCUGGACAAGUACUGACACUCAACUACGAAAGCGUGGGGAGCAAACAGGAUUAGAUACCCUGGUAGUCCACGCCGUAAACGAUGAGUACUAGGCUUUGCGGGUCUUGACCCCUGCAGAGCCGGCGCUAACGCAAUAAGUA